ACACUGAUGGUGAAACGGUAUCAUGCUUGCCUUCCAUGACGAGUGUCUUCCUGAUAGCAAGCGGCGUGGGUUCGACUCCCGCUCAGUGUA
rnacentral:tRNA from 1 species